GAUGAAGAACGCAGCGAAAUGCGAUACUUGGUGUGAAUUGCAGAAUCCCGCGAAUCAUCGAGUUUUUGAACGCAAGUUGCGCCCGAAGCCAUUCGGCCGAGGGCACGUCUGCCUGGGUGUCACGCAUCGUUGCCCCCCCAAACUCCGGUUCGGGCGGGGCGGAAGUUGGCCUCCCGUGCGUGCCUGCGCGCGCGGUUAGCCCAAAAGCGAGUCCUCGGCGAUGAGCGCCACGCCAAUCGGUGGUUUUUUUACCCUCGUUCCUCGUCGUGCGUGCCCCGUCGCCCGAACGCGCUCUUGCAACCCUUACGCGUCGCCUCGGUGGCGCUCCCAACGCGACCCCAGGUCAGGCGGGACUACCCGCUGAGUUUAAGCAUAUCAAUAAGCGGAGGA
rnacentral:misc_RNA from 1 species